ACCCUUGUGGAGGAGGACGCCGAAGGUGGGGCUAAUGACUGGGGUGAAGUCGUAACAAGGUAGCCGUACCGGAAGGUGCGGCUGGAUCACCUCCUAACAGGGAGACAACAAAAUGUUUAAUAUUAUUAUUUUGUCACCUUAGGUCGAUCGGUAUCUCACGUUCUUAAAUUAUUAAGAAUUUCAUUUUCUAAGUUUUUCUAGGUCACACCCAUUUUUUCCUGGGCCAUUAGCUCAGGUGGUUAGAGCGCACCCCUGAUAAGGGUGAGGUCCCUGGUUCAAGUCCAGGAUGGCCCAUAUCUCUAUGUUGGGGGUAUAGCUCAGUUGGUAGAGCGCCUGCUUUGCAAGCAGGAUGUCAGCGGUUCGAGUCCGCUUACCUCCACUGAUUACCACCUCUUCCAUAAUCGGUAUAAAGGAAACUUUUGUGUUGUGAUCAAAUUCUGAACGAAGCUAGCUUCCUAAUGAAAUCAUUAAGAUGCUGGACUCAUUGAAUUAAUUUCAUUGUUUUCAGAGAACCUUGACAACUGCAUAGAUUAUUUAAAAAGACAAUAAGCAUCUUUAAUGAUGCAGAUUUAUUAUUUUUGCAAAUGCAUUAAUAACAAUUCUAUUAAGCUGAUGCUUCAAUUUUUGAAGUUAUUGGUCAAGCUACAAAGGGCUCACGGAGGAUACCUAGGCACACAGAGGCGAU
rnacentral:misc_RNA from 1 species